rnacentral:rRNA from 1 species
UGAGGAAUAUUGGUCAAUGGACGCAAGUCUGAACCAGCCAUGCCGCGUGCAGGAUGACGGCUCUAUGAGUUGUAAACUGCUUUUGUACGAGGGUAAACGCAGAUACGUGUAUCUGUCUGAAAGUAUCGUACGAAUAAGGAUCGGCUAACUCCGUGCC